rnacentral:rRNA from 1 species
GAUGAACGCUGGCGGCGUGCCUAAUACAUGCAAGUCGAGCGGACAGACGAUGAUCUUGCGCGGCUUACGUGAGGGGCGGGCGUGUGAGUCACACGAGUAUACCCUCCCUAAAAGAGUGAGAUACCUACGGGAAAGCGGAUCUAACACCCGAGAAGAUAUUGAACCUCGGGGUUCGUUGGUCAGAGACGGUUUUGCUGGCACUAAUCGGGGUAUCCUGGCCGUAUGGGCUAGUGGGUAGGGUAACGGCCUACCAAGGCAAGGAUGCGUAGCCGACCUGAGAGGGUGAUAGGCCACAUUGGAACUGAGACACGGUCCAGACUCCUACGGGAGGCAGCAGUCGGGAAUCUUAGGCAAUGGGCGAAAGCCUGACGCAGCAACGCCGCGCGUGUGAUGAAGGUCUUCGGAUCGUAAAACCCUCUUACUAGGGAAGAACCACUGUGUCAUUAAACAUGGCGGUAUUGACGGUACCUAAUAAGAAAGCACCGGCUAACUACGUG